rfam:Nematostella vectensis strain CH2 x CH6 NEMVEscaffold_312_Cont23383, whole genome shotgun sequence.
UGUUUCCAUGAUGAAUGAUCAUUACCUACAUUGUUUGAGGGUUACACAAUGAUAAAAAAAUGAUGGUUCUGAGAAACUA